AUAUGGAUAAAUGAUUUGGACAUCAUUGCAUUCUGUUGUUUUAGGCAGCGUCACAAUGUUUGGAAACAGGGUUGGAGAUAAAAGCAGUAUUUGGACUCCCUGGUCAGAAACAAGAUCCUAUCCUGCUCAUGUAGCCAAACCAGUACACCCACAUCCUGCUCCCUUAACCCCAUCCCCAGCUCUGAUCUCUAGGUAAUCUCUGGACGUUUUCUCCCAUUCAUCACCUCUCUCACAAACUGAUCCCUGACUGCUGGCUGCAUGCCCCGACUUCAAGAUGGACAGAAUCACUCUCCUCCUCAAGAAGACAACACUUAACUUCGAUGAUGUCAAAAGCUCCAGUCCAGGAUUCCUUUUGUCUUUUCUUUCCAAAAUACUUGAGCAUGCUGUCUCAUCAAAUUUCCUGAUAUCUCAGAAUGAUCUUCUCAAUGCUGAUCAGUUAGGCUUCAAGAGGGGUAAGGAUCAUCCUUCAAGAACUAUCCCCUGCCUUUGUCCCCAUCCUUCAAGAACUAUCCCCUGCCUUUGUCCCCAUCCUUCAAGAACUAUCCCCUGCCUUUGUCCCCAUCCUUCAAGAACUAUCCCCUGCCUUUGUCCCCAUCCUUCAAGAACUAUCCCCUGCCUUUGUCCCCAUCCUUCAAGAACUAUCCCCUGCCUUUGUCCCCAUCCUUCAAGAACUAUCCCCUGCCUUUGUCCCCAUCCUUCAAGAACUAUCCCCUGCCUUUGUCCCCAUCCUUCAGAAACCUUCCAUUACAUUCUCAUUGCUACCCUCUUGGCACCGGGCAUCUGAGGGUCUCUCUGACUGCAUCUUAACCGGUGAUGCAGACUGAACCGACUGUCCAGAUGAGGGGUUCCCUUGCCGAGGCCUGCACUUCCAGCUACCCUAAUUGACCCCCUUGGUCAUUGCGUGUAUGUUUAGAUUUAUAAUAGAGGGGCUUCCCGGCAGCUCUGUGUCAUGCCUCGUUGUUCUCCAACGAACUACAGCCCUUACUAUAGGAAUGUAUUAAGAAAGGUUUGAAAAGGUAAAGAAAACAUUAAUAAAUUAAAUAAAUGCUGUGCCACGAACCAGGACUGCACAAACAUCCGAGAUCCACAUCCAAAAGGGCCAGCCCCCCCACCCCCAAAAGCCCACACAAAGCAAUUUUUUCUUCUGUUCUUAAUUCUUCCCUCACAUUCUCCCCAUACCACCUACUUUUCCAUUACUAAAACAACAUCCAUGGAUCUAAACACUUGCUUUGUGUUAGUUCAAUGUCUUACCAGUAACAGUCCAUUUACUGUAUAUAAUACAUUAAUUAAA